CCCUUAGAUGUCCUGGGCCGCACGCGCGUUACACUGAUGCAUUCAACGAGCUUAUAACCUUGGCCGAGAGGCCUGGGCAAUCUUGUUAACGUGCAUCGUGAUAGGGAUAGAUUAUUGAAAUUAUUAAUCUUGAACGAGGAAUUCCUAGUAAACGCAGAUCAUCAAUCUGCAUUGAUUACGUCCCUGCCCUUUGUACACACCGCCCGUCGCACCUACCGAUUGGAUGGUCCGGUGAAGCCUCGGGAUUGUGGUUCUUGCCGCUUUAUUGUGGCGUGACCGCGAGAACUUGUCUAAACCUUAUCAUCUAGAGGAAGGAAAAGUCGUAACA
rnacentral:rRNA from 1 species